ACUCCUACGGAGGCAGCAGUGGGGAAUAUUGGACAAUGGGCGCAAGCCUGAUCCAGCAAUGCCGCGUGUGUGAAGAAGGCCUUCGGGUUGUAAAGCACUUUUAUCAGGAGCGAAAUGCCAUUGGUUAAUACCCGGUGGAGCUGACGGUACCUGAGGAAUAAGCACCGGCUAACUUCGUGCCAGCAGCCGCGGUAAUACGAAGGGUGCAAGCGUUAAUCGGAAUUACUGGGCGUAAAGGGUGCGUAGGCGGUAAUUUAAGUCUGCCGUGAAAUCCCCGGGCUCAACCUGGGAAUGGCGGUGGAUACUGGAUAGCUAGAGUGUGUCAGAGGAUGGUGGAAUUCCCGGUGAAGCGGUAAAAUGCGUAGAGAUCGGGAGGAACAUCAGUGGCGAAGGCGGCCAUCUGGGACAACACUGACGCUGAAGCACGAAAGCGUGGGGAGCAAACAGGAUUAGAAACCCUUGUAGUCC
rnacentral:rRNA from 1 species